ACACGAAUAUGCCAAACCUGUAAUCAGGGCGAAGCUUAUUUAUUUCAAUCCGGAUGUGCUGACCUCUGUGAUUUCCCCAAAUGUGGGAAACUUGACUGCAUAAUUUAGUGUGGGACUGGGUUCUCACUUCCUCAGG
rnacentral:snRNA from 1 species